AACGAGGCCAGAGUCACACUUGGACAUUUGUCAGUUGUUUUUGUGUGCUAGGGUGCUCGUAGAGGAAAAGUCUGUGCUUAUUCAUUGGCUGUAGUUUUGUUGUGGCUCAGUCAAUCACCAGCUCAGACACAUUA